AAGGGCCUACGGGAGGCAGCAGUGGGGAAUAUUGGACAAUGGGGGGAACCCUGAUCCAGCGACGCCGCGUGAGUGAAGAAGUAUUUCGGUAUGUAAAGCUCUAUCAGCAGGGAAGAAAGAAAUGACGGUACCUGACUAAGAAGCCCCGGCUAACUACGUGCCAGCAGCCGCGGUAAUACGUAGGGGGCAAGCGUUAUCCGGAUUUACUGGGUGUAAAGGGAGCGUAGACGGCUAUGCAAGUCUGGAGUGAAAGGCGGGGGCCCAACCCCCGGACUGCUCUGGGAACUGUAGAGCUAGAGGGCAGG
rnacentral:rRNA from 1 species